AAAAAACCAAAGUCUUUGCACUUAAUGAAGAAAAAUUAGAAGUGGAAAACAAGGUUAUGCUUUCUUUUUGGAUUACAUUUAACAGCUGAAGAUCCAUUACACAAAUCAAAACCAUCAAUAAAUAUAAAACCAAACAAAUUACAUUUUAUUAACUUAAUUAUAUAUUAAACUUCUCUAAGCAAUACCUUAAUCACAGAUGCAUAACCCCAUCGAGACCUAGCAGCAUUUCCUCUGCGACCAAUCCCAAAGCACAAAGUAGAAACCGGCGAUUCGCAGUCGUCCUCAUCCACCAUUCUUGAUUCAAAAGAUUUUCUUGUAUUGGACAUUUCAUGGCGUUCUCGAGACCUCAACACAGUCGCUGGGGAAGAAAACUGCGACGAAUAUGAAGAAGAAGAAGACGAAGAUGCAGGAGAAACUGGGAAGCUGGUUCUUCUUCUUGCAGUGCGCUUGGAGAAGAUAUUACUGAAAGGAUUAGGUAUAGAGUGCUUCCUAGUGGGUGUUUUGGCUGAGGUGUAGAAGUAAGAAGGUGGUGGAGUUAGAGGAGGAAGAGGGUUUUCUCUGAAUUUGAUCUUUGGGGUUCCUGGUCUAGACUCCCAUAUGAAAGGAACUGCAACAGAAGAUCCUCCCUGGUAAUUUUCCUCAAGAGAUCUAGCCAUGAAGGGUUGGGUUGUGGUUAGAUUAUGCUUGCAGAAGAGCUCAUUAUUAUUAUUAUUCUCAUUCUCAUCAUCAAAUUCAAG
rnacentral:misc_RNA from 1 species